rnacentral:rRNA from 1 species
UACGUAGGGUGCAAGCGUUAUCCGGAAUUAUUGGGCGUAAAGAGCUCGUAGGCGGUUUGUCACGUCUGCUGUGAAAACUGGAGGCUCAACCUCCAGCCUGCAGUGGGUACGGGCAGACUAGAGUGCGGUAGGGGAGAUUGGAAUUCCUGGUGUAGCGGUGGAAUGCGCAGAUAUCAGGAGGAACACCGAUGGCGAAGGCAGAUCUCUGGGCCGUAACUGACGCUGAGGAGCGAAAGCAUGGGGGAGCGAACAGGG